GCAUGAUCUAAUUAUCGCACGCAGCGAUUAGGUGAUUAUGUGAUAUUUAUCUAAACUGUUCAAAUAUCGCUAGAACUUAUCCAUUUUUAUUUUUAUUUCAAUACACGUGCAUAAACACGCGCAGCGAUGUGACGAACGAUGACAGCCCGAUUCCAUGGUCGACAAAUCUAUUACUCUUUUGAUUGUUGGAAAGCUAUGGUAGAGAAUGACAAAUCUUGUACCGC
rnacentral:lncRNA from 1 species